UGGCUCAGAUUGAACGCUGGCGGCAGGCCUAACACAUGCAAGUCGAGCGGAUGACGGGAGCUUGCUCCUUGAUUCAGCGGCGGACGGGUGAGUAAUGCCUAGGAAUCUGCCUGGUAGUGGGGGACAACGUUUCGAAAGGAACGCUAAUACCGCAUACGUCCUACGGGAGAAAGCAGGGGACCUUCGGGCCUUGCGCUAUCAGAUGAGCCUAGGUCGGAUUAGCUAGUUGGUGGGGUAAUGGCUCACCAAGGCGACGAUCCGUAACUGGUCUGAGAGGAUGAUCAGUCACACUGGAACUGAGACACGGUCCAGACUCCUACGGGAGGCAGCAGUGGGGAAUAUUGGACAAUGGGCGAAAGCCUGAUCCAGCCAUGCCGCGUGUGUGAAGAAGGUCUUCGGAUUGUAAAGCACUUUAAGUUGGGAGGAAGGGCAGUAAGYUAAUACCUUGCUGUUUUGACGUUACCGACAGAAUAAGCACCGGCUAACUCUGUGCCAGCAGCCGCGGUAAUACAGAGGGUGCAAGCGUUAAUCGGAAUUACUGGGCGUAAAGCGCGCGUAGGUGGUUUGUUAAGUUGGAUGUGAAAGCCCCGGGCUCAACCUGGGAACUGCAUCCAAAACUGGCAAGCUAGAGUACGGUAGAGGGUGGUGGAAUUUCCUGUGUAGCGGUGAAAUGCGUAGAUAUAGGAAGGAACACCAGUGGCGAAGGCGACCACCUGGACUGAUACUGACACUGA
rnacentral:rRNA from 1 species